rnacentral:rRNA from 1 species
GACGAACGCUGGCGGCAUGCCUAAUACAUGCAAGUCGAGCGAACAGAUGAAGUGCUUGCACUUCUGACGUUAGCGGCGAACGGGUGAGUAACACGUAAGGAAUCUACCUAUAAGCGGGGGAUAACAUUCGGAAACGGGUGCUAAUACCGCAUAAUAUCUUCUUCCGCAUGGAAGAAGAUUGAAAGACGGCUCUGCUGUCACUUAUAGAUGACCUUGCGGUGCAUUAGUUAGUUGGUGGGGUAAUGGCCUACCAAGACGAUGAUGCAUAGCCGACCUGAGAGGGUGCUCGGCCACAUUGGGACUGAGACACGGCCCAAACUACUACGGGAGGCAGCAGUAGGGAAUCUUCCGCAAUGGGCGAAAGCCUGACGGAGCAAUGCCGCGUGAGUGAAGAAGGCCUUCGGGUCGUAAAACUCUGUUAUAAGAGAAGAACAAAUUGUAGAGUAACUGCUACAGUCUUGACGGUAUCUUAUCAGAAAGCCACGGCUAACUACGUGCCAGCCGCCGCGGUAA